GCCAGGUAAAGGCAGUCGGGUGGAGUGUGUGGAGUUCCCCUUUGCAAAAGAAGAAAGGCACUCAAGGCAUUGGGUUGUUUUGGAAAAGAAGACAAGAUGGUUAGAUUGAGACGCAGGAAUCCGUCGCCCACUUUGCGCUGACUCUUCUGAAGGCCUUUCGUAUGGAGAGAAAAUCCAGAAGGAAGGGCACUCCGAGCCCAAGCACUGAAAGGGCAACAAAAGGCCUUAAAUGGCGUCUGAACAAAUCAGGACACGUCUAUUCUUCCAUUCCUCUAAAGUUCCACACCAAAGUGAUCCCCAAUUCCGAAAAGAAAGGUUUCAGUUCUCAGACGAAGAGAUUUCUGGAUCUCGACGUAAGAAAGCUCUCCCUAAACUUUGCACUGAGAUGUUCUUAUCACUUGAAGGACAUUAGUUCUCCUCUCUGAAGUUGAAUAUAUUUUAGGAUCAUAGAAUUAAAGCGCUGUAGUGUAGACAUCCCCAGAAAAUAAGAUCUAGUAGAGGUUUUGCUGUAUUGCUAAAUAUAAGACCUAGCAAAGUUUUUGUUUGGAAGCAUGCCCGCCAAACAGAACACCAGAGCAUGCAGGAUUGAUAAAUGUACGUUCCAUGGUUGUACAUGGAAAUAAUGGUUGUAACAAGAAAUUCUUGAUAGAAUUCACAGUUUGGCUGGUUAUGCUGGUUU
rnacentral:lncRNA from 11 species